rnacentral:ncRNA from 1 species
AUAAAAGCUAUGAAAAGGACAUGAAUUAUUUUUUCGGUUUUCAGAGAGGGAAGGAGAGCUGCGAUCUUCCUAACUUAGAAAAAUAGUUUACCGCCUUGAAGCUGUAUUGGGGAACUAAAGUAUCCAAUAACGUUUAAUGCUGCGUUAAAGCACCAAAGCCAUAAGGUAUUUAUUUCUUAUGGGAAAUUGGGUGGAACCACGGGUUUAAACACGCUCGUCCCUUGC